CACGUUAUGUGGGCACUCUAAGGAGACUGCCGGUGGACAAACCGGAGGAAGGUGGGGAUGACGUCAAGUCAUCAUGGCCCUUACGGCCUGGGCUACACACGUGCUACAAUGGUCGGUACAAAGGGUUGCCAAGCCGCGAGGUGGAGCUAAUCCCAUAAACCGAUCGUAGUCCGGAUCGCAGUCUGCAACUCGACUGCGUGAAGUCGGAAUCGCUAGUAAUCGUGAAUCAGAAUGUCACGGUGAAUACGUUCCCGGGCCUU
rnacentral:rRNA from 1 species